AAUACAAAUAUCUAUAUAUUACUAAACAAAUCAUUUGACCUCCCAAGUAGAUGCGAUCGAACAGAAAAUCUCACUAGUAGUACCGCAAGGGAAAUUAUAAAGCAAUAAAUAGCAAAGAUCAACCCUUGUACCUUUUGUAUCAUGGUUUAGCAAGUAAAACAGAACAAGAAGUAUCCAAGCUCCACCCCCGAAACUAGAUGAGCUACUUUAAAGCAGCCUACCGGGCACACCCUUCUCUGUAGCAAAAGAGUGGGAAGACUUAAAAGUAGAAGUGAAACGCUUACCGAAUCUAGAGAUAGCUGGCUACCCAAUAAAAGAAUCUAAGUUCCACUUUAGAACUAAAAAUAACUACUUAUUAUCUAAAGAUAAUCAAUAGGGGUACAGCUCUAUUGAAACAGGAUACAACCUGAAUUUGAGAGAACACAUAACUCCCUUUCCAGUAGGCCUUAAAGCAGCCACCUCAUACAAUAUCGUUAAAGAAUUAACUUAAAAACUCAGCCCCUUCAAAUCAACUCCAAACAAACUAAAGGUAGACCCAUAUUUUAUGGGUGUUAUUAUGCUAAAACUAAUAAUAAGACAACCUCUCUAUAACGCACCCGUCCGCUAGAACGGAUAACCCACUAGCCAUUAACAGACCACAAUAGGUAACAAACAAAUCAAUACAUGCCUUUAUAUAAACUGUGACUCCAACACAGGUGCACAAACAAGAAAGAUCAACCACUAUAAAAGGAACUCGGCAACCACUGACCCCAUCUGUUUAUCAAAAACAUAACCUUUAGCUAUACCAAUAUUAAAGGCAACGCCUGCCCAGUGAAUAAUUUAACGGCCGCGGUAUCCUAACCGUGCAAAGGUAGCAUAAUCAUUUGUCUAUUAAUUGCAGACCAGCAUGAAUGGCAAAAUGAGGGUCCAACUGUCUCUUAUAGUAAAUCCAUUAAACUGAUCCCCUAGUAAAAAAGCUAGAAUAAUAACAUAAGACCAGAAGACCCUGUGAAGCUUAAACUAAACCAUUAACCUAAAUAAUGACUACUUUCGGUUGGGGCGACCCUGGAAAAAAAUAGAACUUCCAACCUGUAUAUUUCAUACAAUAUUAGGCCUACAAGCCAUUUACGACCCAGCAUAGCUGAUAAUUGAACCAAGUUACUCCAGGGAUAACAGCGCUAUCUUCUUCAAGAGCCCAUAUCAAAAAGAAGGUUUACGACCUCGAUGUUGGAUCAGGACACCCCAAUGGUGUAGCCGCUAUCAAAGGUUCGUUUGUUCAACGAUUAAUAGUCCUACGUGAUCU
rnacentral:rRNA from 1 species